UACAGAGGAUGCAAGCGUUAUCCGGAAUGAUUGGGCGUAAAGCGUCUGUAGGUGGCUUUUUAAGUCCGCCGUCAAAUCCCAGGGCUCAACUCUGGACAGGCGGUGGAAACUACCAAGCUGGAGUACGGUAGGGGCAGAGGGAAUUUCCGGUGGAGCGGUGAAAUGCUUAGAUAUGACACAGAACACCGAUUGCGUAGGCAGCUCACUAAACUCUUACUGACGCUGAGGCACGAAAGCAUGGGGAUCAAACAGG
rnacentral:rRNA from 1 species